rnacentral:rRNA from 1 species
GAAGGUGUGACGGAGCACGCCGCGUGAGUGAUGAAGGUUUUCGGAUCGUAAAGCUCUGUUGUUAGGGAAGAACAAGUGCCGUUCAAAUAGGGCGGCACCUUGACGGUACCUAACCAGAAAGCCACGGCUAACUACGUGCCAGCAGCCGCGGUAAUACGUAGGUGGCAAGCGUUGUCCGGAAUUAUUGGGCGUAAAGGGCUCGCAGGCGGUUUCUUAAGUCUGAUGUGAAAGCCCCCGGCUCAACCGGGGAGGGUCAUUGGAAACUGGGGAACUUGAGUGCAGAAGAGGAGAGUGGAAUUCCACGUGUAGCGGUGAAAUGCGUAGAGAUGUGGAGGAACACCAGUGGCGAAGGCGACUCUCUGGUCUGUAACUGACGCUGAGGAGCGAAAGCGUGGGGAGCGAACAGGAUUAGAUACCCUGGUAGUCCACGCCGUAAACGAUGAGUGCUAAGUGUUAGGGGGUUUCCGCCCCUUAGUGCUGCAGCUAACGCAUUAAGCACUCCCCCGGGGGG